rnacentral:lncRNA from 1 species
GUCCUCACUCUGUGUCUCUGCCCAAACUACACACUAGGGACAACACCAACGCUGGCAUUGGGAAGUCAAGAUCUCUAUCACAGACUCUCUUGGGUAAUGUACAUUAAAAUGGAAUCUAAAGGCAGCUGUUGAGCAGCCACUAAUGAUGACAUGGAUCCAAUGCUUUCAUGUGGCAGUGCCUCAUGACUUGUCUCUGUUGAUGAUUAAACAAAGAUCUCAACCUUGAAUCCUUAGGAUGUUCAUAAUUCUUCCAUCUUCCUUCUCUCCUCCCUUUCAAGUUUCUUUGGUAUCUCUAUCCAUUCCUUUUAAAUGUUUGAUGAUCACCCUCACCCCUUCACCCUCCCCAUCAUCCUUCAUUUCCCCCAUUUACUUCCUUUCUCACUCCCAGUGACUUUGUUUAUAAGAAAGAUUUAUUUUAAUAUUAUGUUUAUUACUGCUUGCCUGGAUGAAUAUCUGUUCACCACAUAUGUGUAGUGCCCACAGAGGCCAGAUAAGAGCUUUAGAUCCCCUGGAGCUGGGAUUACAAAGGGUUGUAAACUGCCAUGUUGAUGCUGAGAAUUGAACUUCUGCUAAAGCAUCCAGCCUUCUUAACAACAGAGUCAUCCUUCUAGCCCUCAGACUCUUCUAGACCAGCAUUUCUCACAACCCAGUUCUUCUCUACAUGCAGCACUCAUGCUGGUAGCCAUCUCAGCUGAGUGCCUGUGAUUGCAAUGGUCCUGGCUUAUCUGAUAAACAGCAUUUUACAGUAUUCCUCCCUCCUCAUCCUCCAGCCCUUACAAUCCCAGAGGGCAUCUCUUUGACAGAUAUAAUUUGUGAAUAAGCCAUUAACUGACUUUUAUGGUAAGUAGAGUUCUCACUCCCAGUCUGUACUUGAGAAGAGUCCAUUUCAGUAUCUCUACGUUGCUGCCUGAUAAAGGCUGAUUCAAGUCCAAACUAAUGAAGGCUUCUGUGUGUGCUGAGGUCAUAUUUUCCUAUUUAACAGGGCCUAUAUGUGCAAUCCAGCACUAUAAGAAACAGGAGGUAUGUGGCCUUUUAAAUUUGCUUUGUGUUUUGUGGUUGUUGUUUGACACUCAAACAUCUACUUUUUUCCUAAGAAUUUUUAUUAAUUCUUUUCUUACAAUACAUUUUGAUUGUAACCUAUUCAAACUACCACACAACCCUACUUCAAUUUUCUCUCUCACCUCUCUUAAAUAAACAACCAAAAAGUCAGACUGUCUUAGGUUUCUAAUGCUUCGAUGAAACACCAGGACCAAAUACUAAGUUGUAGAGGAAAGGUUUUCUUUUGCUUACACUUUCAUAUCACUGUUCACAAUUGAAGAAAGUCAGGAGAGAAACUCAAACAGAGCAGGAACAUGGAGGCAGGAGCUGAUUCAGUCUUGGAGGGAUGAUGCUUACUGGCUUCUCUACAUGAGUUGCUCAGCCUGCUUUCUUAUAGAACCCAGGACUACCAGCUCAGGGAUGGGCCCCACCUACAAUGGGCUGAGCCCUCCUGUAGCAAUAAUUAAUUAAGAAAAUGCCCUACAGCUGGAUAUUAUGGAGGCAUUUUUAUCUGAUGUUCACUCUUCUCAGAGGACUUUACCUUGUGCCAAGUUAAUAUAAAACUUAUGCAGCACACAGGCAAUAAAAGAACAGUGCUAGGACAGGUUCCAGACAGAUGGUGUCCCAGCACUGUGAGGGACAAGGUGACAUGGGUUCUAACCACUAACCAAGAAGUUAUCUGCAAUUGAUAUACCUUGGCAAAGGAAAAAUCAGUUUUCUCUGAUAGAGUCUCCUUGGGUAUAUUAACCACAUCUCAGACUGGACCAUGACCAGCAAUGGCUGAGCGAACGUAAAGCAACUACUUAUUAAGACUCUAUUUUGAUCUCUAUUUCCUGGGGGAAAAAUAUUAAAGAGAUCUUGACUUUCAGUGUCCAGACCCAAAACCGUUCGUUGGCAAGAGUUCCCGGAGUGAGCUGAAUUCCCUUUCUCAAUUCACCUGGCGUAGUGUGAUUACAUUAAGCUUACAUGAUCAGGUGUUAUUUAAUAUUCAAUGAAGUUUAUGACAGUGAGCUAGCAUUGUAGAGCAAUAUCAGAUAGGGGCUGCCAUUGACGUUAUGUGAGUUGCAACAUGUUCUGGUUUGGCUGUUGGUUUUAAUUACCAGCACCAUCUUCUUCCCUUCCAUGUUCCCCAGUCUGAAACCUUGGACAGUUUGAACAUAGGUCACAGUAUCAAAGAAUGUGGGAACCAAGACAUGGUAGUUCCGAGGACCACAGAGCAAUCAGGAGUAAAAUUGUCUCCCCAUGCUCAGGUGAGUGAGUUAGAGUUAAAACCCUUGUUUUAUAAAUGUUUGUUACGAUAAGCAAGAGAGUGGGGUGUUUGAGCAGAAGCUUAAAGUAAGAGAGAUUACAGAAUCUUCAGGGUGCAGCACAUUCUUACAGCGAAAAGCAUAGUAGGAAAUUUCAAAUCAUUCUAAUCCUCUGCAUCAUUAGGAUUUACUCUUGACAUC